rnacentral:rRNA from 1 species
AGUGAACGUUGGCGGCGUGGAUUAGGCAUGCAAGUCGAGCGAUCGUAGCAAUACGGGAGCGGCAAACGGGGGUAGGAAUACAUCGGAACGUACCUUUUGGUUGAGAAUAGCGUUGGGAAACUGACGGUAAUACUCAAUAAAGUCGAGAGACCAAAGGUUUACUGCCGGAAGAGCGGCCGAUGCGAUAUUAGGUAGUUGGUGGGGUAAUGGCCUACCAAGCCUGAGAUGUCUAGGGGGUGUGAGAGCAUGGCCCCCACCACUGGGACUGAGAUACUGCCCAGACACCUACGGGUGGCUGCAGUCGAGGAUCUUCGUCAAUGGGCGAAAGCCUGAACGAGCGACGCCGCGUGCGGGAUGAAGGCCCUUGGGUUGUAAACCGCUGUCAGGGGGAUGAAACCGUAAGGUUGACAGAGCCCCAGAGGAAGCACGGGCUAAGUUCGUGCCAGCAGCCGCGGUAAU